rnacentral:rRNA from 1 species
ACUCCUACGGGAGGCAGCAGUAGGGAAUCUUCCGCAAUGGACGAAAGUCUGACGGAGCAACGCCGCGUGAGCGAAGAAGGCCUUCGGGUCGUAAAGCUCUGUUGUUAGGGAAGAACAAGUAACGCAGUAACUGGCGUUACCGUGACGGUACCUAACGAGAAAGCCACGGCUAACUACGUGCCAGCAGCCGCGGUAAUACA